rnacentral:rRNA from 1 species
AUUGAACGCUGGCGGCAUGCCUUACACAUGCAAGUCGAACGGUAGAGGGGCAACCCUUGAGAGUGGCGAACGGGUGAGUAAUACAUCGGAACGUGCCCAGUCGUGGGGGAUAACGUAGCGAAAGUUACGCUAAUACCGCAUACGGUCUACGGAUGAAAGCGGGGGACCGUAAGGCCUCGCGCGAUUGGAGCGGCCGAUGUCAGAUUAGGUAGUUGGUGAGGUAAAGGCUCACCAAGCCGACGAUCUGUAGCUGGUCUGAGAGGACGACCAGCCACACUGGGACUGAGACACGGCCCAGACUCCUACGGGAGGCAGCAGUGGGGAAUUUUGGACAAUGGGCGCAAGCCUGAUCCAGCCAUUCCGCGUGCAGGACGAAGGCCUUCGGGUUGUAAACUGCUUUUGUACGGAACGAAAAGGCUCUGGUUAAUACCUGGGGCUCAUGACGGUACCGUAAGAAUAAGCACCGGCUAACUACGUGCCAGCCGCCGCAGUAA